UAACAUCUAAUAAAAAGAAGACACAUGUCUAUGUGGUCUCCAUUUUUGGUUUUCAACAUGUUGAAUCUAUUCAACUCUGUUGAAUCCACGUAUGAUUUUUCGCCUUUUCAACACCCUCAUUGUAAGAGUUCAACGGUUGAAUAAUUUAUUCAACACCCCAUUGCACAUAAUCUAAUAAAAGAACCCCAACUAAUUUUUAUUGGGUUGCCUGAAUUUUCAGCCCUAUACUAGUUGGAAUCUCAACUUUCCACCCUAAACUUUUAGACACUUGAAAAACCACCAUAAACAAUUUUAAUCUCGAUAAAACUACAUGUACUUUCGGAUUUGUUCUUAAAACUACGCCUCCAAUUGAACCGACCAGUUAACCGAUAAUUAUACAUCCGGUUUGACUUACCCAUAAUUUAACCGAAACUAAUCCGAUUUUGACUCUAUUUUAGCCUAAUUUUGACCCACACAAAAUGUAAAUAAAUUGUCUUAUUAAGAAGUAAAAGU
rnacentral:sRNA from 1 species